rnacentral:rRNA from 1 species
UACGAACCGUGCGAACGUUGUUCGGAAUCACUGGGCUUAAAGGGCGCGUAGGCGGGCGAUCAAGUCAGGGGUGAAAUCCUCCAGCUUAACUGGAGAACUGCCUCUGAUACUGGUCAUCUUGAGUGAGGUAGGGGCGUGCGGAACUGAUGGUGGAGCGGUGAAAUGUGUUGAUAUCAUCAGGAACUCCGGUGGCGAAAGCGGCGCGCUGGACCUUAACUGACGCUGAGGCGCGAAAGCCAGGGGAGCGAACGGG